GCGGACCAGAGCAGCCAACUUCUCAUCUCUCAUCUCCUCCAGGACACCCAGAAGACCAGCUUUGAAGAAAACCUGAGACAGGCUUCUUACAUAGAUCAUCCAUGCUGCAUAACGCUCUUUGAGGUUAUACAACACAGUAGCUUCAUUCAGGCUUACGGAGGUAUAUGGCAGCCUUGCCAUAUUGCUCCAUCUCUGCGUCCGUACUCAUGGUGAAGGAUCUCUAGGAAAGAGAUGAAACAAGAAGCGUUAUGGACACCGUGUUGCUUCCUCCACACUCAACAGAUGAGAGUCUUACCACAGAGGAAGAAAGUGUCUGACUUAGGGGGAUCCAGGGGCCCCAUCCUCCUUAUAUCAGUUUGAAGGUGCCAACCAAGCAAAAGUUAAUUAUGGACCACUCUGGAGAAGGAAAUGGAUUGGAGGAGAUAGAUCUUUGAUCAUGCAUUCAACUAAUGUCAACAAA